AAGCAGUGUGACAUGCCCGUUUGGUAUUAGCCUCUGAUGUAUUAUUUGUUAUUUAAUUGCUUUAGGGUAACGGGGUGUUACAAUUGG
rnacentral:pre_miRNA from 1 species